GUUAUGUAAACAAACAACACUCAGGUCUGAGAGAGCUGAACCUCAGUGCUAAUGCAAUACUGGACUCAGGUUUGAAGCAGCUUUCAGUGGCACUUUGCCAUCUUCUGUCAGGACUGCAGUCACUGAGCUCUCAGAUCUAACCAGACACAGCUAAAAGCACUGGAUCUCAGAGGAAAUAGACUGACGGAUUCAGGAGUGAAGCCACUCUCACGUCUGCUGGAGGAUCCACAACGUAAAUUAGAAGAACUUGAAUUCAUGGAUGGAAUCAUAUCCAAAAUCAGGCACCUACGGAUGACUCCCACA